UACAGAGGGUGCGAGCGUUGUCCGGAAUCACUGGGCGUAAAGGGCGCGUAGGCGGCCUGAUAAGUAGGGGGUGAAAUCCUGCGGCUUAACCGCAGGGCUGCCUUCUAAACUGUCGGGCUCGAGCACAGUAGAGGCAGGUGGAAUUCCCGGUGUAGCGGUGGAAUGCGUAGAGAUCGGGAGGAACACCCGUAGCGAAGGCGGCACUCUGGGCCGGUACUGACGCUGAGGAGCGAAAGCGUGGGGAGCAAACAGG
rnacentral:rRNA from 1 species